rnacentral:rRNA from 1 species
GAUGAAAGAGAAGAGAAACCCCCCCCCCCCCAAUACCCGGUAAAAAAAAAGAGGAAAAUUUUUUUGUGGGGGGGGCGCCGCCCCCCCCCCAGUUAAAAAGGGGGGGAGAAAAUGAAAAACGUGGAGCCGUGCCUCUUUUUCUUUUCCCCCCCCUCGGCUGGAAACUUAAAGGAAUUGGCGGGGGAGCAGCCAUAACGGGUGGAGCCUGCGGUUAAAGGGGGGGGAAAAGCCGGGCAGCUCUCCGGAUAGGACAGCGGAAUGAUAGCCGGGCUGAAGACCUUGCUUGACCAGCUGAGAGGAAGUGCAUGGCCGUCGUCUUUUCUUUUUGUGAAGCAACAGGGUAAGUCAGCCAACGAGCGAGACCCAUAAUUUAUCCCUGUCCUGUUCCUCUGAGGCCCGCCCCAAGCUUCCCCCAGUGAGUUCUAUCCAUUUUCCUGUUUC